rnacentral:rRNA from 1 species
AGAGUUUGAUUAUGGCUCAGGAUGAACGCUAGCGACAGGCUUAACACAUGCAAGUCGAGGGGCAGCAGGGAGUAGCAAUACUCCGCUGGCGACCGGCGCACGGGUGAGUAACGCGUAUGCAACCUACCUAUCAGAGGGGAAUAACCCGGCGAAAGUCGGACUAAUACCGCAUAAAACAGGGGUCCCGCCUGGGAAUAUUUGUUAAAGAUUUAUCGCUGAUAGAUGGGCAUGCGUUCCAUUAGAUAGUUGGUGAGGUAACGGCUCACCAAGUCUACGAUGGAUAGGGGUUCUGAGAGGAAGGUCCCCCACACUGGUACUGAGACACGGACCAG